AUUGUUGAAACCUUUACUUCAACAUCACAGCCCACAGCAACAGGUGAAGAAACAUCAGGACCAAUAGUCAUAACAUCCAAUCCCACUACUUUAACAACAACUACAAUUACACCUACAACAACGACACCUACCACAGGUGGAACUACAACAGUUGAAGAAACCACAACUGAGACAAUUCCAUCUACAUCCACAAAGCCACCUAAAGAAGUCACCUCCGGCCCAACAACCACUUCCACCACUGUAAUUGUUGAAACGUCAACAUCACAGCCCACAGCAACAGGUGAAGAAACAACAGGGCCAGUUGUCAUAACUUCCAAUCCCACAACAUUAACCACAAUUACAAAGGCACCCAUUACAACUACAGAGGUAACUACACCUACCACAGGUGGAACUACAACAGUUGAAGAAACCACAACUGAGACAAUUCCAUCUACAUCCACAAAGCCACCUAAAGAAGUCACCUCCGGCCCAACAACCACUUCCACCACUGUAAAUGUUGAAACCUCAACAUCACAGCCCACAGCAACAGGUGAAGAAACAUCAGGACCAAUAGUCAUAACAUCCAAUCCCACUACUUUAACAACAACUACAAUUGCACCUACAACAACGACACCUACCACAGGUGGAACUACAACAGUUGAAGAAACCACAACUGAGACAAUUCCAUCUACAUCCACAAAGCCACCGAAAGAAGUCACCAGCGGCCCAACAACCACUUCCACCACUGUGAUUGUUGAAACGUCUACAUCAACAUCACAGCCCACAGCAACAGCUGAAGAAACCACAGGGCCAGUUGUCAUAACUUCCAAUCCAGCAACAUCAACCACAAUUACAAAGGCACCCAUUACAACUACAGAGGUAACUACACCUACCACAAGUGGAACUACAACAGUUGAAGAAACCACAAUUGAGACAGUUGUCAUCACAGGCCCAUUAGAAACAACAAGAACUCCUUCAACAUCGCAUCAAGUGAUUAUUACACCUACAUCACAAGUAGUCACCACCAUCCAGUGUAUUUGCAAUGUUAAUGGGACACAAUAUCUACCAGGUAACAUGUUAUAA
rnacentral:lncRNA from 8 species